UUAAAAGAUAAUUGGUGGAAUUUCUUUCCUUAAUGCAUUUGAGCCAAUCAGUUGGGUUGUGACAGCCCUAUUUGGUAAAAGUCCAAGUUCAUAUUAUGGCAAGAACAGCUCAAAUAAGUAAAGAGAAACGACAGUCCAUAAUUACUUCAAGACAUGACGGUAGUUUUUCUUGUUCCAUACCAGGCUGCCAUGGUGUGGGCCUAGCGAGCUGAGCCUUCAAAAAUCAUAUCAGGAGAUAUUCUCCUCCAAUUCGCGUUGAAAGGAGGCGAAGAGAGAGAAUGUGAGGAAUCGAAGAAAGACAAAUUGAGAAAGAGCCUAUCCCUGAGCGGGUUGGAUAGAUGUUCUAGGGGUUCUGCAAUGCUCAGAGAAGACUACCGUAUCUCUUCCCCAGACCUGUAUCCAUUUGACGUCCUCCGUGACCAACCACCCUCCAAGAUCCCACUUUUCAUUACAUUAUCUACAGCUACUGUCAUUGUCAUGUUUAAUCUAAUCUGCUAAGAAACUGCUUGCCAUAUCAUACUAGGCACAGUGAGAUACACAGAUGAACUACGUACACUAGCACUGCAAACACUCCAAGAGCGAAGAGAGCAGCUGUGCCAGGACUUUGCAAUCACCAUCUUUAAGUCCCACUUCUGAGAUUGCAUGCCUGUGGAGGGAAAGUGAAGGGCAAAACCCAUAGCACCCACCUCCUCUCUAUUCCAGAAUUGAGAGAUACAUUUUUUUUUAUCCAUACCCUAUUUCUGCUAAGACUCUUUUGAACAUCCCCUCUUAUAUUAUGUACAUUACUUGUCAUUCAAACUUAUUUUUUCUAAACUAAAUGGUAUAUUACUGUUGAUGUGUUGAUAGUCAUGUAUUCCAGUCUAUAACUGCCAUGUCGGUAUAUUGAAUAAAAUAAACAAGUUCAUGACACAACUGUUUCACAAAAAGAGCAACGUUUUCAUAUUUCACUCUUAAAUAUUGCCAGGUAGUUGUUUUCACAGGGUGUUCAUUUAAUUAAUUGAUUUUUGGUAUUUGUGAGUUCAACAUUAUUCAGUUGUCCUGCAUUAUAUUCAACCACAAGGGCCUUACUGUAUUACUG
ensembl:lncRNA